rnacentral:piRNA from 1 species
UGGCUCACACUCAACUCGGAGG